rnacentral:rRNA from 1 species
UACGGGGGGAGCAAGCGUUGUUCGGAUUUACUGGGCGUAAAGGGCGCGUAGGCGGUCGUGACAAGUCACUUGUGAAAUCUCCGGGCUUAACUCGGAACGGUCAAGUGAUACUGUCGGACUAGAGUACAGAAGGGGCAACUGGAAUUCUCGGUGUAGCGGUGAAAUGCGUAGAUAUCGAGAGGAACACCUGCGGCGAAGGCGGGUUGCUGGGCUGAUACUGACGCUGAGAAGCGAAAGCAUGGGGGAGCGAACAG